CGUAUAUAACGGAGCAAGUGUCGGUGACGAGGCACAGACGCACUUCCCUCUCGAGCAGCAGCACUCGGAGACCCACCGACCCCAGCCAUCAUGAUCAAGGUUCUGAUCCUCCUGGCCGUUCUGGCUCUCUUCGCCGUCUCGCAGGCUGUGGCGGCACCACAGUACUACAUCGCUGACGGCCUGUACUACGGAUACCCUUACGCCGCCUACUACGGCGCACACUACCCUUACUACUACUACGUACGCUAAGCGCUAUGUAAAACUCGAGCACUGACAUGUCAUGGUUACUUCUCCGAAAUCAACUCAACUUGCUAACACAUCCCAUUACUCACAGUCACUGACACUCUUGAAGAACGGCCUAGUCAUUCCGCCAUGUUGAUCUUCAGUCGAGCCAGUCGGUCUCGACAGAACUUACCCACCGCUUUCUCUUCGGGAAAACGUCUCAUGAUGCCCCUUGUUCUAACGCCGGGCUUUCUUCAAUGUGGUCACUUGGUUCUGAAAUAACAAUAAAAAGAUUUCUAACCAGA